GAGCCGCUGGAGUGGUGCCACGGCGCAAAUCCCAGUUGUGCCGCCGGCUACCAUGGGUCAUGUCCAAUCAUCACCAGCAGUUGAGCUCGAUCUAUCGGUAUAAGGCAAUUUUUCCGUGCCGGUUGCAGGAGUUGGAGCUCGAUCUGCCUCCGCCAACUGUGGGUUAUCAACCAACCGAUAGUUGUAGUCCGGCGGCAGCCCGUUCAUCAGGAAGUGCAACACAUAUGGGAGGAUCCGAACUCUAUCUGGGCAAAAAAUUAGAUGAAAAAUUAUGAUUGACGGGUAUGCAGUGAAAUCAAAACAAGUGGCUCCUAUCUUGUCACGAAUGUAUUUGGAAAAAAAAUUCAGGAAGGAACUAUGUCCAAGUGCACAAAGGAGUUUUGCUCAGGCAGAAAGCAAAAUUGAAAAAGCCACCACAAACAUGAGCAGGAUGUUACAAACGAUGUGAACAACCUGGACCUAGGCAGCGAGGGGGAGAUCGGGAAGCCAAUGGGACUUGAGAACAUCUUCAAGACCAGGUUGUGCAUGAGCUUUCUUGCCGGUGAGUCGUGCGCCUUCGGCGGCAGAUGCUCCUUUGGCCCGUGCCAAAGUUGAGUUGUGCACUCCCGCUGCAUCUCAAGAAGUCGAAGACCAAAGUGGUUCUCAUGGUGUUCAUGAUGAUCGUGCAUUUGUUAUUUUGCGGAAAUGCCUAAACAAAAACUUUUCUUGUCGUAGUCCAUUUUUUCGGUUCAAUGAAUUCGUGAUAGGCAAGGUAUCAACAAUAGAGUGAAUAGAAAUUCAUUCAUAAACUCGGAGAUAUUAAUAUUAGAGCAUCAAGCAUGUAAAUCGAUGUACUGAGGCAACCCAUGUUUUGGCAAAAUCGGGUGAGCAUGAU